rnacentral:rRNA from 1 species
AGUCGAGGGGCAGCACGAAUACAAUAUUUGGUGGCGACCGGCAAACGGGUGCGGAACACGUACGCAACCUUCCCAUAACUGGUGAAUAGCCUUCCGAAAGGGAGAUUAAUACACCGUAACAUAGUGGAGUGGCAUCACUCUACUAUUAUAGCUUCGGCGGUUUUGGAUGGGCGUGCGGCUGAUUAGGUAGUUGGCGGGGUAACGGCCCACCAAGCCUCCGAUCAGUAACUGGUGUGAGAGCACGACCAGUCACACGGGCACUGAGACACGGGCCCGACUCCUACGGGAGGCAGCAGUAAGGAAUAUUGGUCAAUGGACGCAAGUCUGAACCAGCCAUGCCGCGUGAAGGAUGAAGGCCCUCUGGGUUGUAAACUUCUUUUAUCUGGGACGAAAAACGGACUUUCUAGUUCACUUGACGGUACCAGAGGAAUAAGCACCGGCUAACUCCGUGCCAGCAGCCGCGGUAAUACGGAGGGUGCAAGCGUUAUCCGGAUUUACUGGGUUUAAAGGGUGCGUAGGUGGGUAGGUAAGUCAGUGGUGAAAUCUUCAAGCUUAACUUGGAAACUGCCAUUGAUACUAUUUAUCUUGAAUACUUUGGAGGUAAGCGGAAUAUGUCAUGUAGCGGUGAAAUGCUUAGAUAUGACAUAGAACACCAAUUGCGAAGGCAGCUUACUACACAGUUAUUGACACUGAGGCACGAAAGCGUGGGGAUCAAACAGGAUUAGAUACCCUGGUAGUCCACGCCCUAAACGAUGGAUACUCGACAUUAGCGAUACACAGUUAGUGUCUGAGCGAAAGCAUUAAGUA